rnacentral:misc_RNA from 1 species
CGGCCGGCAAUGGGACGGUGUUCUUGCUGGAGUGUAGCUACUGCCCCAGUGUUGAGUGCACGCGCGUGGGGCUUGUGUGCGCGUGUCUGGUUUAUUGGCCACUGCCCCUUCGUCACUUCGUGUUCAUGACACCUGCCUAGUAACUAAAGUUUGCCUUGAUAUCUAUGUAAAGUAACCUUGUUUUAUGAAACUUAUUGCUAAAUGGUGCUUCGAUAAAGUGUAACUUAAUCAAACUGGCCAAUAACUGUGUAUGUGAAUUCGGGAGAUAGUUUUGCAAGUUUAUUAACAAUUGUGUAGUAAAAUUAUCAAGGCUCCUAAUCAUGGCAUCAAUUCGUUCAAUCCGUGCAGGCUUGUCACGUUCAUAUCAUUCCCUCAAUACCUUGGCGAAUGACGGGAAUGAUAAUGACAAGUUGUACGACCGUAGCUCCUCUACGGACUGGAUAGGCGUCGACAACUUCAAGAGCAGCAAAAAUGGCAAUUCGCCGUUCUCGGUUAUAAAAAAUGCCAUGGCUAAAGUAUCUAGGGGUAAACAGAGUAGCGCCUCGCGGGUGUCCGUUAUACUGAGGGAGUUAGACGACGAGUGGACUAUUAGUGAAGAUCCUGCUGAAGGACGCACUUUCCUAGGGAAACUCCGUUCAUCUACCAAGAUGCCGUCCUCCAUCGCUGUGUCCGCCGAACAGGCCUCCCUCCUAGGGACCAUGCCAAGUGAUGCACUGGAUGACAUAGAACUAAGACACGUACAAUUGUCCGUCUCCAAUUCACGCUCGUUGAGUGAAGACGGCUCAACGGGCUCGAAGGAGACCAUAGAGACCCAGCAUGGCCCCAUCACUGUGGCAGUGUCUGGGGAUACCUCCAAGCCUGUCAUCCUCACCUACCAUGAUCUGGGCCUCAACCAUGUUACUAACUUCCAGGCAUUUUUCUUGUACCCAGAGAUGAGGAAUAUUCUUAGCAAUUUCUGCAUUGUUCAUGUUAAUGCCCCAGGUCAAGAGGAGGGAGCUCCAACACUUCCAGAAGGAUAUGUGUAUCCAACGAUGGAAGAACUCUCGGAAACUGUUACAUGUGUCAAGAAUCACUUCCAUCUUCGCAGUUUCAUAGGAUUCGGUGUGGGUCUAGGGGCUAAUAUCCUAGCACGAUAUGCCACUAAGUACCCUUGUGAUGUGGAUGCUCUGGUCCUAGUUAAUUGCUCAUCCACUCAAGCUGGAUGGAUUGAAUGGGGUUACCAGAAACUUAACAUCCGCCACUUACGUGCUGGCACUAUGACGACGGGCACAGUUGACUACCUCCUCUGGCAUCACUUUGGCAAGAGAGAGGAAUGCAACCAGGACCUGGUAACUGUUUACCGGCAGCACUUUGAAAAGGCACUUAAUGCCACCAACCUUGGCCUUCUUGUCGACUCCUACAUUAGACGCACCGAUCUUGGUAUUGUACGAGAGCUUGACCCCAACAAAAAGAAGGAUGUUCGCAUGAUCCGGUGCCAGGUGCUGAAUAUUACUGCCAACCAUUCUCCUCAUAUUGAGGACACAGUCACCUUCAAUGGUAGACUUGAUCCUACGCUGUCCACAUGGAUGAAGAUCCAGGAUUGUGGAUUAGUCAUAGACGAAGCUCCAGGCAAGGUAGUUGAAGCCUUCCGUCUCUUCCUCCAAGGGCAGGGCUAUGCGGUGAGUGGGUCCCGGCGAUCCUCAGCUGUGUCGAUUGGAGAAGGUAAAUCGUGUUGAACGCAUCACCCAUCAUCAAAAAAACAAGCUUUGUUAGUGCCUCAGUGGGCGACUGGGGCCCUCCGAUCUUGCUAUCGACAAAGAGUAUGCACUUCUUUGUAAAAGAUAUUAUUUUAAAUGUUUAGCGGUGCACAAUCGUGGCAUUGGUUCCCGACAAGCGUCUCUCGCUUCAGUCAAUGGAUCUGCAACAUGCGUGAAGGAUAUCCGAAUUACAGAAAAUCCCCUG